rnacentral:misc_RNA from 1 species
ACUGAGAGGAUUGGAUUUGAGGUUGUGACGCUUGAUGGACGUACGGGGCUUCUUGCUUCUAACAAAAUCUCGAGCGCGCAGUCUCUUAGAUGGCCCACCGUGGGAAGAUACAGGGUAGAUGUUGCAUCAUUUGAGUCGUUGGCAUUACAAGAGUUGCAGGUAAGGGAAGAUACCGAUCUCUUCAUUAUCGAUGAAAUUGGGAAGAUGGAGCUCUACAGCUCCUCAUUCUUUCCAGCUGUACUUAAGGUCCUUCAAUCUAAUAUCCCACUCUUGGCUUCUAUCCCCAUUACAAAAGUAGGCCGAGAUAUACCUGGAGUUGCGAGGAUGAAGAAUCAUCCAGGAGCUAGAGUUUUUACACUUGAUGCAAAUAACAGGGAUGCGAUGAGAGAACAAAUAUGCUCCGCGUUAGCAGAUGUGCUGCAAAAGUCUUAGACGUCGAAGAGCAUACUCUUCCAGCUAAUGUUGUAAUUGCUCCUCCUGAUACACUACUCAAGAAGACAAGUCCCCUUAAAAUCUCCAACACUUUGAAGACCACUUGGUGGCGUAGAAUGCUCAGAACAAUUGCUGAGAGAGGAAUUUUGAAGACGAGAGAGGAAAAAAAUGGAGCGAUGUUUUUCUAUAACGCGUUGCUGGUCAAUUCUAACUUUUCUGAAGCUUCCUUUAAUUUAUUUUCUGUGUUAGUAUGGUGUACUGAAAG